rnacentral:rRNA from 1 species
UGGAUUGGUGGGCGCUUGUGUGUUCAGCCUUCGGGUGCAUUGGCACAAGUGCUUAUCCGCUGUGGGUUCUCGGGGGUCGAUUUUGGACUCCCGGGGACUGAGGGCUCCCUUUUAGGUGAGGACAGCGGAGUGACGACGCGAUACGACCCGUCUUGAAACACGGACCAAGGAGUCUAGCGCGGGUGCGAGUCGGAGGGUGCAAGCCCGUGGGCGAAGUGAAAGCGAGUUUAAAAACGAGCAGUUUGGGGCGGCAUAAGAUCGUUGAUCUUAAGACCGACCCAGAGCAGUUGCGCUGGGACCCGAAAGAUGGUGAACUAUGCCGGAGUAGGGCAAAGCCAGAGGAAACUCUGGUGGAGGCUCGUAGCGGUGCUGACGUGCAAAUCGCUCGUCGAACUUGGGUAUAGGGGCGAAAGACUAAUCGAACCAUCUAGUAGCUGGUUCCCUCCGAAGUUUCUCUCAGGAUAGCGGGCCGACAAGUUGUUUUGUGCGGUAAAGCGAAUGAUUAGCGCAUUCGGGGGCGUUUAGCCUUCGGGCGAUUCUCAAACUUUCAAUGCGCAAGGGUGCCGCUGCUUAAUUGAGCGGUACCGGUAAAAACGUCGGCCCUGUGGGCCACUUUUGGUAAGCAGAACUGGCGAUACGGGAUGAACCGUAAGCAAGGUUAAGGCGCCAAACUGCCCGCUUAUAGACCCCACAAAAGGUGUUGAUUCAUCGAGACAGCAGGACGGUGGCCAUGGAAGUCGGAAUCCGCCAAGGAGUGUGUAACAACUCACCUGCCGAAUGAAUUAGCCCUGAAAAUGGAUGGCGCUGAAGCGGGCGGCCGACACCUUGCCGUCUGAACAAGAAUUUCAGAUGAGUAGGAGGGCGUGGCGGCCGUGUCGAAGCAUGCGUGCAGACGCUUGUGAAACGGCCGCUAGUGCAGAUCUUGGUGGUAGUAGCAAGUAUUCAAGCGAGAUCCUUGAAGGGCGAAGUGGGGAAGGGUUUCACGCGAACAUUGAUUGGGCGUGAGUGAGUCGUUCCUAAGCCGAGUGGCAAUUGCUAAUUAACGGCGAAAGGGAAGCGGGUUGACAUUCCCGCACACGGAUGUGGAGGCGGCGACGCAUUAUUGGGGCGAACACGCUGGCGAUGGCGCUGGGCAGAGUUGUCUUUUCUGUUUGACCGCUUGCGCACGCAGUGUGGAAUCCUCUUAUAGGGAGAAACACGCGUGUACGGGCAGAGCGCUGGGGCUUUUCCAGCGUCCAGCUCGCCAUCGACGGCCCUUGAAACUUUGCCUGCUGAUUUAAGAUCCACGCCGUGGCGUACCGAUAACCGCAUCAGGUCCCCAAGGUGAACAGCCUCUGCUCAAUAUGAAAAAUGCAGGUAAGGGAAGUCGGCAAAUUAGACCCGUAACUUUGGGAAAAGGGUUGGCUCUAGUGCUGCGUGGGAGUGGUUGUCGGACGCCGGCGUUUUUAGCGUGGCGGCUUGGCGCGGGACCUCUUCGGGGGACCUGUUCCUGCUGCUGCGCCGAUUGCGCCGCGGCCGACGACGCCCACAGCAUGCAGCAAACUAGAACUGCAACGGGCAAAGGGAAUCCGACUGUUUAAUUAAAACAAAGC